AUUGAACGCUGGCGGCAGGCCUAACACAUGCAAGUCGAACGGUAACAGGAAGAAGCUUGCUUCUUUGCUGACGAGUGGCGGACAGGUGAGUAAUGUCUGGGAAACUGCCUGAUGGAGGGGGAUAACUACUGGAAACGGUAGCUAAUACCGCAUAAUGUCGCAAGACCAAAGAGGGGGACCUUCGGGCCUCUUGCCAUCGGAUGUGCCCAGAUGGGAUUAGCUAGUAGGUGGGGUAACGGCUCACCUAGGCGACGAUCCCUAGCUGGUCUGAGAGGAUGACCAGCCACACUGGAACUGAGACACGGUCCAGACUCCUACGGGAGGCAGCAGUGGGGAAUAUUGCACAAUGGGCGCAAGCCUGAUGCAGCUAUGCCGCGUGUAUGAAGAAGGCCUUCGGGUUGUAAAGUACUUUCAGCGGGGAGGAAGGGAGUAAAGUUAAUACCUUUGCUCAUUGACGUUACCCGCAGAAGAAGCACCGGCUAACUCCGUG
rnacentral:rRNA from 1 species